rnacentral:misc_RNA from 1 species
AAGCAUAAGUUGAAUUCACAACCUGCAUCAAGCCCAAAAAAGAGAUUACUUAACCAAGAAUGCUACCAAAAUGAAGUUUAAGCAAAAGAAUGAAAAUGAAACAGAUCAAAUAUAUGAACUCCUUUUAAAGCGAUCCACGAUGCUCGUGCUCACACACAAAGACAAACAUGGACUUAUUUUUAGCAAAAAAAAGCACACAAAUGAAUGACACCAAAAUUCAAGGUUGGUAAAAUGAUGUCAUAAGUGACAACCUACAGCUAUUUUGAAAAAGAUGAAAUACUCAGAUAUAUCACAGAAAGGAGGAAAAAAAAUUGAACUUCUUAAUUCCCGUUUCCAAUGGCUCCUUACAGCCAUUUCAUGAUGUCUAUAUGUGAACAAUUCAUAAGACAAGUGAACUCUGAAUAAUGUACGGAAUCAAAUUGAAUUCCAUGUGAUGUACUCAGUUAUAAGCCUGAGAUGCAACUUCAUGUUGUCUAGAUAUGAAUAAAUUCAUAAGGUAAGUCACCUCUGAAUAACAUGGCAAAGCAAACUCAAUUCCAUGCAUUGUACCCAGUUCUAAGACUGAGAUGCAGCUUGAAAAUAGAAUAAGUGUGCUAAUCUCUUGGUAGAAAUUGUCAAAGGAGUUCCUGACAUUUUAGGCUAAAAACAUACCUCAAGUAUUCCAUGUCCA